UCCUAGUGGCGGACGGGUGAGUAACGCGUGGGUAACCUGCCUCACACUGGGGGAUAACAGUCAGAAAUGACUGCUAAUACCGCAUAAGCGCACGGGAUUGCAUGAUCCAGUGUGAAAAACUCCGGUGGUGUGAGAUGGACCCGCGUUGGAUUAGCCAGUUGGCAGGGUAACGGCCUACCAAAGCGACGAUCCAUAGCCGGCCUGAGAGGGUGGACGGCCACAUUGGGACUGAGACACGGCCCAGACUCCUACGGGAGGCAGCAGUGGGGAAUAUUGCACAAUGGGGGAAACCCUGAUGCAGCGACGCCGCGUGAAGGAAGAAGUAUCUCGGUAUGUAAACUUCUAUCAGCAGGGAAGAAAAUGACGGUACCUGACUAAGAAGCCCCGGCUAACUACGUGCCAGCAGCCGCGGUAAUACGUAGGGGGCAAGCGUUAUCCGGAUUUACUGGGUGUAAAGGGAGCGUAGACGGAGCAGCAAGUCUGAUGUGAAAGGCAGGGGCUCAACCCCUGGACUGCAUUGGAAACUGUUGAUCUUGAGUACCGGAGAGGUAAGCGGAAUUCCUAGUGUAGCGGUGAAAUGCGUAGAUAUUAGGAGGAACACCAGUGGCGAAG
rnacentral:rRNA from 1 species